AUCCAGCUGACGAGUCCCAAAUAGGACGAAAUGACGCACUUCCUAUAU
rfam:Schistosoma mattheei strain Denwood, Zambia genome assembly, scaffold: SMTD_scaffold0000694